rnacentral:rRNA from 1 species
ACGUAGGUGGCAAGCGUUGUCCGGAUUUAUUGGGUUUAAAGGGUGCGUAGGCGGCCCCGUAAGUCAGUGGUGAAAUACGGCAGCUCAACUGUCGAGGUGCCAUUGAUACUGCGGGGCUUGAGUAUGGACGAGGUGGGCGGAAUUGAUGGUGUAGCGGUGAAAUGCUUAGAUAUCGUCAAGAACACCGAUAGCGAAGGCAGCUCACUAGGCCAUAACUGACGCUCAGGCACGAAAGUGCGGGGAUCAAACAGGAUUAGAUACCCUGGUAGUCCGCACAGUAAACGAUGGUCACUCGGUGUUGGCGGUACACGGCCAGCGCCUUAGCGAAAGCGUUAAGUGACCCACCUGGGGAGUACGCCCGCAAGGGUG